CACAUCAAGCGGUGAACCUGUUAAAUCCAACUGUCAAUACUUUACUUGAUGGUGCACUGGUUAACGGGGACAAUGUAGAACCAAUUUUUUUGAAUGUAUGGCCUGCUUCUGAUGAUGAAAUAGAGAGUAUUCAAGACCCAUUCUUGAGAGCUCUCGUAUCUUUGCUUUUAGAUCUGUUUAUUAAUGAUAACGUACGGACAGAUGACAAGGCUGCGUAUCUUCACUAUUCCUAAUGUCUCAACGAUAAGCUUUUCUUUGGAACGACAAUCAAUACUAGAUGUUUAUGGAUUCUCCUUUUUCUUAUAAGUGUUAUUAUCCGAAGAUUGCGGAAAUUGCUCGCUGAAUCUGAUGAAGAUGCUUCACAGAUGACAAUCAAGGAAAACCAAGUACAAAAUAUCAUUCAGGGUUGGAUUUAAAGAACCCUAUCAUUGCCACCUUUAAUUGUUUCUCCAACAGAUCAGAACACAGAACAAUGGGUUCAACUGGUUAUAUCUUGUUAUGCUACAAAAUUCUUAUGAGUAAGUUCUCUGGAGCUGGCCACGCAGAAAGAUGUUAAGCAUUUGGAGAAGACACUAGUAAUAGAUUUAUUUAGAAAACAUAGAAGUGGCGGUGGCGCACUGCGUCCUGCUACCCGGUCAUCAUCAGUACAGAUAACCCUAGAAAAGCUGACUUCAGUUUGUGUUGGAUACUGUUGGAAGGAUCUCAAUGAUGAAGAUUGGGAGGUUGUAUUGUCACAGUUGCGAAGAUACUGACUCUGCUGUAUUAUGGAGGACGUUGUGGAGUCUGUCAAUGACAUAUUGUCAUUCAGUAUUCUGCUAUAAAAUAAUUUAUCAAAACGAAGCUGGAGGAAGUUGUUUGUUCGCUAGACCCAUCUCCUAUUAAAAAUUAUAGGAGUGCCCUUUUCACGUUUAACCUGUUUUACGGGCUUCUUGAACAGCAAGAAGGGGAUCCCGGUGGUUCUAGUUCAGUGAAAGCAUGAAUGGAGAUAUAUUAAAGAUAAGAUACUUGAAAGUGUUCUCUUAUUCUUUGCCACAGUUGUAAGUGAAUCCAUCAAAAGGUUCUUACUCCUGUUCAGAUGGCUCGUCUAUUAUACCGUCAUCCCCCCCUUGUGUACACUCAUUUCUGGGAGUUAGUUCAUCGUCCAUUUGAUCAGCUCUCCUCAACAUGGUAAACUUACAGCCGUACAAUCAAUAGAAAUGUGGGAUGAAGGAUACGUCGGUUCUUUGUAUGCAAAUGCAAUCUUCUUUUCUGCCAGGCGUAUUCAUUCAGUGCAAGUUACUGCAUAUAUAAUGCUUUCGACGGAUCCAGUUUCACAUCCAGCUAUCACAGAAGAAGAUGUAUGCAGCGCUUCAGGGGAUGUAUCUACUAGUCAGGAGUAUGUCCAGUCUCCUAAUCCCAGUUUGUCCUCGGAUGAAAAUAUCCCCGUGAGAGAUUAUAUUUCUUGCAUGAUUAUAAGAUCCCCAUCUACGCUUAUUGAGGGGGAUUUAAUCUCGCUUAUCGGGUGAAUGUCUUUACUGCUUGGGCUCUGUUGCUUUCUCAUCUCCAAUCUUUGGUAUCAGCAUGACCAGCAAGGCAGAAAGUCGUUCAGUGGGUACCAAAUUUCAUAGAUACACGAAUAUUGGAUUGUCAAUUCGAGCACAUUCCAUCACAGUCUGGUGCAGUGCAUAGCUCCAAGAAGGAAGAUGUUGAGCUUCCAGCUGGUGUUUCCGGGGCGGCUGCUGCAGCAAAAUGUGCCAUCACGACAGGUUCUUUACUAUUUUCUAUCGAAUCACUUUGGCCUGUUGGAUCGUCGUGUUGAGCUUAAUCGUGCAUAGCAACCACUCUAACUAUUGACCCUUGGAAGGUUGAAGUUGUUCUGGCCGAGCUUCGGUUGUCCGUAGCCACUGGUGACUGUAGUUGGUCAUGACAUCAACUCCGGCGACAAUAGUAGUAUAGUACUAUUGCAACUCUUUAUCUAUGCCAUAGUUUUGCAAAGCUAGCUGGUGAGUAUGAUUGGUGUACCCUCCAAAAAAAGGUUGGGAGUUGGGUUGAAUGAUUGGUAAGAUUUGUGACGCCACACCGGAAUCAGAAUCGUUAUUAUACACUUGAGUUGUCUGAGUUGGCUGCUGAGAUUCUUUGUGGUUUACUUGAAACCAGUUGGUGUAGCGCAGUCUGACAGAGAUUCCGUGUGGUUUCCAUGAAACCAGUUGGUGUAGCGCAGUCUGACGGAGAUUCCGUGUGGUUUGCAUGAAACCAGUUGGUGUAGCGCAGUCUGACUGGGGUGCUGGAGUUUGAGUAGUGAACAAGUCAAAUAUGCUACUCUAGAUGCAUGUGGCUGCAAUAACUGGGUAUAUAUUGUGUCUGAUGUGCUAGCUCAGAAAAGAAUAUGAGUCGUACUAUUGAAGCUUUCCAAAACCAUUUCUUUUAUUAAAUUUCCCAAGUUUUAUAAGCAGUGCUAUUGUUAUGAAUUGGUAUAUUUCAAGAUCACUUGUGGGUUCACAAUUGUGUAUGCAAUUCUCUGUCAAAACCUUAGCCUGUGGAUAGUGACAUUCAUAGGUUCCCAAUAUCUAAGCUGUAGAAAGCUAUUGUAAAUAUUCUGAAUUGU